UACGGAGGAUGCAAGCGUUAUCCGGAUUCAUUGGGUUUAAAGGGUGCGUAGGCGGACUAUUAAGUCAGUGGUGAAAGCCUGCGGCUUAACUGCAGAACUGCCAUUGAUACUGAUAGUCUUGAGUUUGGUUAAGGUAGGCGGAAUGUGUAAUGUAGCGGUGAAAUGCUUAGAUAUUACACAGAACACCAAUUGCGUAGGCAGCUUACUGAGCCGACACUGACGCUGAGGCACGAAAGCGUGGGGAUCGAACAGGAUUA
rnacentral:rRNA from 1 species